AUUGAACGCUGGCGGCAUGCUUUACACAUGCAAGUCGAACGGUAACAGGGAGCUUGCUCCGCUGACGAGUGGCGAACGGGUGAGUAAUAUAUCGGAACGUACCCAAGAGUGGGGGAUAACGUAGCGAUAGUUACGCUAAUACCGCAUACGAUCUAAGGAUGAAAGCAGGGGACCUUCGGGCCUUGUGCUCCUGGAGCGGCCGAUAUCUGAUUAGCUAGUUGGUGAGGUAAAGGCUCACCAAGGCGACGAUCAGUAGCUGGUCUGAGAGGACGACCAGCCACACUGGAACUGAGACACGGUCCAGACUCCUACGGGAGGCAGCAGUGGGGAAUUUUGGACAAUGGGCGCAAGCCUGAUCCAGCAAUGCCGCGUGAGUGAAGAAGGCCUUCGGGUUGUAAAGCUCUUUUGUCAGGGAAGAAACGGGAUUGGCUAAUAUCCAGUCCUAAUGACGGUACCUGAAGAAUAAGCACCGGCUAACUACGUG
rnacentral:rRNA from 1 species